rnacentral:rRNA from 1 species
AUUCAGGUCAACUUGGCUUUUACUCACUGUUGUCAUUGUCUUUGCCCAAGGUAUAUGCCUUGUGUGCAUGGCAUUGACCUUCUAUUUUAUGGUAAUGUUGUAUCUUUCGGGGUACAUUCAUUCCAUAUAGUCUACUUUGAAAAAAUUAGGGUGUUUAAAGCAGGCGAAAAGGCUUCGGAAUAUAUUAGCAUGGGAUAAUAGAAUACGAUCUAGGUCGUAAUUUGUUGGUUUCUACGGCUUAGGUAAUGAUUGACAGGGAUAGUUGGGGUCGCUCGUAUUGAGUUGUCAGAGGUGAAAUUCUAGGAUUAACUCAAGACGAACUAAUGCGAAAGCAUUCGGCAAGGAUGUUUUCAUUAAUCAAGAACGAAAGUUGGGGGAUCGAAGAUGAUCAGAUACCGUCGUAGUCUCAACUGUAAACUAUGUCGACCGAGGAUCCGGUAGCGUUACAUGGAUGACCUUCCGGGCACUCUGUGAGAAAUCAUAAGUAUUUGGAUUUCGGGGGGAGUAUGGUCGCAAGGCUGAAACUUAAAGGGAUUGACGGAAGGGCACCACCAGGAGUGGAAUCUGCGGCUUAAUUUGACCCAACACGGGAAAACUUACCAGGUCCGGACACAGUGAGGUUUGACAGAUUGAGAGCUCUUUCUUGAUUUUGUGGGUGGUGGUGCAUGGCCGUUUUUAGUUGGUGGAGUGAUUUGUCUGGUUAAUUCCGUUAACGAACGAGACCUUAACCUAUUAAAUAGCUGCGCGAACCCAGGUUCUUUAACCAUUCUCUCCUUCGGGGGGGCGUGGUAUCAUUAUUUUGCUUUUCACUUUCGGGUGGGAGGUAGGGUAGUGUUAGGGCCUGAGAUGAGUUGGUGAUUUGGCUUCUUAGAGGGACUACUUGCAUCCUUAGCAAGGGGAGGUUUGAGGCAAAAACAGGUCUGUGAUGCCCUUCGAUGUUCUGGGCUGCACGCGCGUUACACUGGCGCAUGCAAAGAGUUUAAAAUUCCUGUCCCGAUGGGGUUGGGAAAUCUUUUUAAAGUGCGUCUGAUGGGGAUAGAGCAUUGAAAUUAUUGCUCUUGAACGAGGAAUUCCUAGUAAUUGCAGGUCAUCAACCUGCAAUGAUUACGUCCCUGCCCUUUGUACACACCGCCCGUCGCUCCUACCGAUGGUUGAACCGAUGAGGACUCGGGAUGAUCUUAUUAGAUCGGUCGGUCGAAAGAUCGAUAGACUAUUAGGUCAGAACUUGUUCAAAUCUUUUUAACUAGAGGAAGGAGAAGUCGUAACAAGGUUUCCGUAGGUGAACCUGCGGAAG